rnacentral:rRNA from 1 species
GAUGAACGCUAGCGGCAGGCUUAACACAUGCAAGCGAGGGGUAACGUGAGUGCUUGCACUUGACGACGACCGGCGAACGGGUGCGUAACGCGUAUAGAAUCUGCCUUGUACAGGAGGAUAGCCCAGAGAAAUUUGGAUUAAUACUCCAUAAUGUUAUGUAGUGGCAUCAUUAUAUAAUUAAAGAUUUAUUGGUACAAGAUGACUAUGCGUCCUAUUAGUUAGAUGGUAAGGUAACGGCUUACCAUGGCAUCGAUGGGUAGGGGGUCUGAGAGGAUUAUCCCCCACACUGGUACUGAGACACGGACCAGACUCCUACGGGAGGCAGCAGUGAGGAAUAUUGGACAAUGGGCGAGAGCCUGAUCCAGCCAUGCCGCGUGCAGGAAGACUGCCCUAUGGGUUGUAAACUGCUUUUAUACAGGAAGAAACCUACUUACGUGUAAGUAGCUGACGGUACUGUAAGAAUAAGCACCGGCUAACUCCGUGCCAGCAGCCGCGGUAAUACGGAGGGUGCAAGCGUUAUCCGGAAUCAUUGGGUUUAAAGGGUCCGCAGGCGGUCAAUUAAGUCAGAGGUGAAAUCUCACAGCUUAACUGUGAAACUGCCUUUGAUACUGGUUGACUUGAGUCAUAUGGAAGUAGAUAGAAUAAGUAGUGUAGCGGUGAAAUGCAUAGAUAUUACUUAGAAUACCGAUUGCGAAGGCAGUCUACUACGUAUGUACUGACGCUCAUGGACGAAAGCGUGGGGAGCGAACAGG